CCUACGGGAGGCUGCAGUAGGGAAUCUUCCACAAUGGACGAAAGUCUGAUGGAGCAACGCCGCGUGCGUGAAGACGGGUUUCGGCUCGUAAAGCUCUGUUGGUAGUGACGAAAGAUAGAGGUAGUAACUGGCCUUUCUUUUACGGUAAUUACUUAGAAAGUCACGGCUAACUCCGUGCCAGCAGCCGCGGUAAUACGUAGGUGGCAAGCGUUGUCCGGAUUUAUUGGGCGUAAAGCGAGUGCAGGCGGUUCAAUAAGUCUGAUGUGAAAGCCUUCGGCUCAACCGGAGCAUUGCAUCCGAAACUGGUGAACUUGAGUGCAGAAGAGGAGAGGGGAACUCAAGGUGUAGCGGGGGAAGGCGUAGAUAUAUGGAAGAACACCAGUGGCGAAGGCGGCUCUCUGGUCUGCAACUGACGCUGAGGCUCGAAAGCAUGGGUAGCGAACAGGAUUAGAUACCCCGGUAGUC
rnacentral:rRNA from 1 species